CGCCUUUUGAUAAACAAAUAUAAAAGGUCCUGCCUGCCCAGUGAUAAUUAUUCAACGGCCGCGGUAUUAUGACCGUGCAAAGGUAGCAUAAUCACUUGUCUUCUAAAUCAAGACCAGCAUGAAUGGCAAAACGAAAGCCUAGCUGUCUCCUUAAGUUAGUCAAUGAAAUUGAUCUUUUCGUGCAGAAGCGAAAAUAUAAAUAUAAGACGAGAAGACCCUGUGGAGCUUUAAAAUAAUAUUAUAUAAAUAUUUUAUAAUAAUAUAAACUUUUAGGUUGGGGCGACCAUGAGGUAAAACAAAACCCUCGAGAUAAUAACUAGAAGGACACUUCAAACCAAAAGUAAUACUUAAUAUGACCCAAUAAUGAUCAACGAACCAAGUUACCCCAGGGAUAACAGCGCAAUCCAUUCCCAAAGUUCAUAUCGACGGAUGGGUUUACGACCUCGAUGUUGGAUCAGGACACCCCAAUGGUGCAACAACUAUUAAUGGUUCGUUUGUUCAACGAUUAAAGUCCU
rnacentral:rRNA from 1 species